UACGUAGGGCGCAAGCGUUGUCCGGAAUUAUUGGGCGUAAAGAGCUCGUAGGCGGUCUGUCGCGUCGGCUGUGAAAACCCGGGGCUCAACCCCGGGCCUGCAGUCGAUACGGGCAGACUAGAGUGUGGUAGGGGAGACUGGAAUUCCUGGUGUAGCGGUGGAAUGCGCAGAUAUCAGGAGGAACACCGGUGGCGAAGGCGGGUCUCUGGGCCGAUACUGACGCUGAGGAGCGAAAGCGUGGGGAGCGAACAGG
rnacentral:rRNA from 1 species